CCCUUAGAUGUUCUGGGCCGCACGCGUGCUACACUGAGUGGAUCAGCGGGUCAGGUUGCGCGAAAGUGUUUCCUAAUCUUGAAAUCCGCUCGUGAUGGAGAUUGACGGUUGCAAUUUUCCGUCAUGAACGAGGAAUACCUUGUAAGCGCGGGUCAUCAUCCCGCGCUGAAUACGUCCCUGCCCUUUGUACACACCGCCCGUCGCUCCUACCGAUUGAGUGGUCCGGUGAGGCUUUGGGAUCUGAGCAAAGAGAGCGUUUCGCUCGUUUUGCCCGGAAAACUCAGUCGAACCUUAUCAUUUAGAGGAAGGAGAAGUCGUAACA
rnacentral:rRNA from 1 species